rnacentral:rRNA from 1 species
GGGACACGUGGUAUCCUGUCUGAAUAUGGGGGGACCAUCCUCCAAGGCUAAAUACUCCUGACUGACCGAUAGUGAACCAGUACCGUGAGGGAAAGGCGAAAAGAACCCCGGCGAGGGGAGUGAAAAAGAACCUGAAACCGUGUACGUACAAGCAGUGGGAGCACGCUUAGGCGUGUGACUGCGUACCUUUUGUAUAAUGGGUCAGCGACUUAUAUUCUGUAGCAAGGUUAACCGAAUAGGGGAGCCGAAGGGAAACCGAGUCUUAACUGGGCGUUAAGUUGCAGGGUAUAGACCCGAAACCCGGUGAUCUAGCCAUGGGCAGGUUGAAGGUUGGGUAACACUAACUGGAGGACCGAACCGACUAAUGUUGAAAAAUUAGCGGAUGACUUGUGGCUGGGGGUGAAAGGCCAAUCAAACCGGGAGAUAGCUGGUUCUCCCCGAAAGCUAUUUAGGUAGCGCCUCGUGAAUUCAUCUCCGGGGGUAGAGCACUGUUUCGGCAAGGGGGUCAUCCCGACUUACCAAC